UACGGGGGGGGCAAGCGUUGUUCGGAAUUACUGGGCGUAAAGGGCUCGUAGGCGGCCAACUAAGUCAGACGUGAAAUCCCUCGGCUUAACCGGGGAACUGCGUCUGAUACUGGAUGGCUUGAGAUUGGGAGAGGGAUGCGGAAUUCCAGGUGUAGCGGUGAAAUGCGUAGAUAUCUGGAGGAACACCGGUGGCGAAGGCGGAUCUCUGGGCCUCACCUGACGCUGAGGCGCGAAAGCUAGGGGAGCGAACAGG
rnacentral:rRNA from 1 species